CACUCACAAAACAUACGCAUUUACUUACAGACACACACCCACACCCACACACACCCACACACAAACACACAAAUGCUUGUGACACGGAAAUGCGAAUACAAGUGGUAGGUGUAAUAAAUUUAAAUAUAUAGGAAAAAUUAUUUAAUUCUAUAUUUACAAACGAAAACAAAACGAACAAACAAAAAACAAUGUCAAGUGAAACAGGCAGCAAGCGUCGCAAAGAAAAAAGAUAAAAACAAACGAUGCGCUGACCAAAAUGCGGUGCAUAUUGAUGAGCGUAUGAUUGCCAGGGUGACGCCAAGACCACGUAGUAUACAGCGACCAAUGCGUCCGCGGAACAGUAAGCACACAUGCAAGGGGUAUUCAAAUUUUGUUGGUUACGAAACAACUAAAACUACAUGAAGCAGGAAAGUCAACUAACAAAAGAAAAAAAAAAGGACAUGAAACAUGUAAAUCAAACCCUCGGACUCGGAAAAAAAAUCAAGAAAUCCACUGCAAGUAGGGGAAAACAAAUUUUUCGUUCUUUUCGGUGUUAGGCUUAAAGGCAGAGGUGCCGAAAUCUAAAUUGCGCAUAAUGCAAAACCAAAACCGAACCGAGUCAUGUGUUUAAAGUCGCUUACGCAUCUAGCCUACGUGGUUCGCAAAGGGGACGUGUGGAACAAACGUCACAGAGCGUCACGGUGGGAGCAAAAAGCAACAGAAUACGCAAAGUGAAAAUGUCUUUUUUACUGUUUUUGGAGAGGCUAUAGAAUGAAGCAUUUAACGAGAACGCUACUAAAUGGACGAAUUCUCUCUGUAGCAAAAAGGAACAGCCAUUCAAGCGUCCUCCCUCAAACGCAAUAUUGGACAAUACGGUAGAAAGACGGUACGGAACGAACGUUACCGAUGCGAUCGGCCAAUCGGUUUCGAUACCUAGCGAUCGACCUAGCAGCUACCCUAUACGGUGGAAGAAAACUCAAAACAAAUAGCUAGUGCAAUGUUUUUUUUUUUUUUAAUACUAUUGUUUUAUUAAUGCAAAAUAAUAUGAUCGAACCUUCCAUGUUUUCCUUUUAUCUGUGCUUUAAGUGAACGAAAUCAAAAAUAACUUUUAAGAUUUAACUAUGCGUACGAAAGAGUGACACUACUAGGAAUGCAAAAACGCGCAGCAGCAGUAGUAGGAAGUAGGAGAGCAAACAUAUUUUAUGGCGGAAGUUUUGUACAAUUUUCAAACAACAAACAAACAACAGCAUCUAAGAUCUAAACGAAAAAUGCAAGCGGCCGUUGAAGGAAACUAAAACUGUUAAGCAAAAUGCGCUAAUACUAUACGCGUAAUGUGCAACAAUGGGAUAGCAAAAGCGACACAAAAAACAAGCAAACUCUUCGAAUCGCAUUUUACUUUUUCAUUGUAUUGCAAACGGAUCCCAAGUGUCCUAGUUAUGAUUUGUAUGGUUUGCAAAUGAUUCAAUUUACUGUGUCCUAAGUUCACAAAACAACAUCUUCCAUUUUUUUAAUCAAACGGACCAAUAGUAACAGAGAGUAUCACACAGCAGAAGCGAUAAUGCGGCUGUAACCAAUAGGUAGAAACGUUCGAGCAAAUUUCUUUGUUUCGGAGCAAGUUUCGUACAAAACCCCGGAUUUCGGCCACGGAAACCACCACUGAAUCAAACUUCAAACCUACGCAAUAAAAUAACAACAACAAGCAGAACACAGCUCUUAAGCAACAGCACUACUUAUUGCAACAGAAAAACAAAAACAAAACAUUGCAAAGCAACAGUUAAACAUAUAAACACACAUGCAACACACAUUCAAUACAGGAAAUAUUCGAUUGUUUGUCGUACAUUUUAAGCAUAUUUGUUCACUUUAGGAAACGUCACGUUUGAACAGUUCCAACAGUUUGGCAAAUGUUUUACCAACCGUAAACAAAAUAAUACAUCAAGAAAACUAUCUGCAGGAGAAGAAAAACACACUCACAAGCAACAGUGUAGCACGGACAGUGAAACCAGUAACAAACAGCAGACUGCAACGAGCACACAAUAGAAGGCCCAUUCAUUAUUCAGCAAGAGAAAAAAAACGUAACAAAAAUCUUACCAACAGCUACCAUCAAAACUGAGAUGGAACUCAUACAACAGCUAAAGAUCAUUUCAGCAAGAGGAAAAAAAACAACAAAAUAGCACCACCAGCAUCACUACUACCAUCCCUACCAUCAGCAGUAUAAUGCCACCAUCAAAUACCACCAAAUAUAAUACAACUACAUCAUCGUAAAAUACCAAUUAUCUCCCUAUCCUUCGUACCACCACCUCCACCACACCCACCAAACAUCACCAUUCAACACUACAAACUUCCCUGAAAACUAACCUAUGCCGACAGUCGAUUGGCACUGGGAUACAUCGCCGCCGAUGUCGCGAAUGCCUCCAUGAACGAUGGACCGGCACGAGCAGUGCGUGCGAUGUAUCACAGUGUACACAUAUUAAAAGAACAGAAAAAAUAACUGACAUACAGAAAAACCACCAGUACGGAAAACAGCAAUGAAAUUACAAUAGCGCUAAUGCAAUAGAACUAAACUCUACACACCUACACAACCCACUACUCACCCACUCAUGCAUACAAGACCGCAAACGCCCAGCACGCUGGGUGACAAUAGUCAAGUAAAAUGGAUUAAUAAUACCACAGGAAGACCAACACACUUCAAACUCCCAGUUACGGUUAUAAUUAUUAUUGCUACAGUCCGUGGGGAACAGAGAGACAGUUGCGUAAAAGUUAAAGUCAAUAGUCACCAUAUCACUCACUCACUCACUCUCUUUCUCACUUACACUCUACACACUCACUUACAAACUUACGAUCUACUACCAAUGCUCGGUUUAGUAUACAAUAGCCCGGCUACUGAGAUUUGGUGGAGCUGACAGACUCGGCCGACCAUGUUAUCGCUCACAACACACACAUACAUACUACUUACAGAAGCAGCAGCAGCAGCAGCAGUAAUCUUUAUUGUACAAUAGCCAGGAUUGAUGGAUAAGCACUGACUUAUCUCUUGUUCACAUUUUCCACAUCACAAUACACACAUACACCGACACAAAUAUUACAUACAAUAAUACAGCUGCGAUCGGGCGCGCAGCAUAGCCCGUACGAUCGUGUGCAUUAAUGUUUAAAUUUUGUUACAGUUCUCUUACUAAGCAGUAAUAAUAACCGUAAUGAACAGAAACAGAAAAUAGAAAUAGUAGAAGGAAAAUACACAAAAAAAUAAGCCAUUCCAACACCCCCAAACACCCCCCAUCCGAAUCCCCACAAAUUCCUCCGCUGCGUUAUGUCGUACUAAAAAAACAGAAACAGCUGAUGAUGAUCCUCUAAAUGACCACACUCUACCACAGUAACUCUCAGCAGCUCAGCAGCGAUCAAUCAAUUCAAUUCAAUUACAAACCGCAGUUCUUACAAUAGUUACAAUAGUGCAACAAUAAGAAGCAAACACAACUGUAAAGUCAAUGUACAAAACAUUACAAACAAACAAACAAACAAUGAAAAUGCUACGUUACAGUACAUGUUCGUAAACAACAAUAUACCAAAUAUCGGAUGUUCCCCCGUGGGCAAGAAAAGCUGAACACUCCCGCUGUGUACUCCCGUUUUUCUCUCGGGUAAGACCAACUACCCACAGCCACUAAAAUAAGAAAAAUGAGGAAUGGCAUGAGCGUUCAGCUAAAACAGAAAUACAAAACCGCGCUACCUGUCUGCGGUGGACCAUUCGAUGCCAAUAGAAACAAUAGACCCGUCGUUGCAGCAGAGCGAGACACAAUUAAUUCACAGCAUCAAGCACACACACCCAAACACAUACAAACUCACACUUAACACACAUGUAAUAGUGGCGCUGAUGCAAAUUAGGCGCAUUUAAAUAGAACACAGGUUCCAAUAGUAUAAACUGCAGGAUGCAAAUGCAUAAGCAAAAAAAACCCAUAAGUGAACCACCCGAAAUCGGAUAGUACACUCUUCAUUUCUUUAUCAUAAUUCACAAACCUACACUUACAACUUCAUACAACAGUUCAGUGCAACGAGUUGGAUUAACGUAAUCAAAUUUAAAUGAUGUAACCCGUACAGGAACAGGCAAACAAAUGCAGUGAAGAGAUGUAUGGCUUCCGCUGAGAAAAAAAGGGAUAACAAUAUAUAUAAAAAAAACAAAACAGCAGCAAAGCAACAAACAAUCGCAGCAACAAAUCAAUAGCAAGCAGAUAGCAAGACAUUUGCCAGCAAGCAGAGUUAAGACACCCAAGGUGAAAAGAUCGUGCAAGAUCGCGACGAAUUGGGAGUAAAGAACAGUUUCACAGAUGUCCAAAGAAGAACAAAUUACUAUCCUGUUUUCAAUCUUUAGUUUCACUCACACAGCAGAAGCAUAGUAUGAAUGAACCAAACUAACAGAUAAUAACAAUGAUCAUCCCAAACUUGCCGCCGCAACCAAUCAUCGAGCAUCCUCGGCGCCAAUGAGUACCGAAGGAACGUGAACGCAUUUUUUCUGUAUUCCGCAACAUUUCGUCAACAGGUUCUGUUUGCUUUACUUCUUAGUGAUAGAAGCUUAGCUAUAGCGCGUACGAUGCAUAAGUAUACACUUUGCUUUGUAAGUAACAGGUUGAGGCAAAUUAGCAGCGCAGAGAAGAUGAAACUUAUUUUACACCCUAGGUUUUAUGAGCGCCGGCAAAGUGUUUUGCGACGUAUUUGAAAUAAUAGGCCAGCCGUUUCGUUAAGCCAGAGCGGAGGAAGCGACAGUGCUCCUUUUACUCUGUAGCGUAAGACUAGUUAAAUAGUUGUAUAGCCGGAAGGGAAGGAAAUAUCCAAACAUAAGAAAUACGCCGGGCGAAAUCCACCAGCAAUUAAAAUGAACGUUAUUUGCAUUGUCGUGCACACCGCAAACUGGUGGGGCGGGGGUGCGCUCAGUGCACAAAGAUGCAGUGUUGUUGUAUAAUGCGUUUUUACUCUUAAUUUAGUUAAGUUGUUUCCACAAACAUGCCUCCCCUCAAUAAUGCUCUUUUGCUAAUGCAACGUUUGAACACAUAAGCAUUAUUGGUUGGGUUGUAUCUGUUUUAGUAAGAAGAAAGCGCAGUGCGCCCCUCUACCAUCGGGGCGAGGGAACUGUAAACAUGUGAGCAAAUACACAGACACACACACAAACACACAUAUAAAAUACAGACCACACGAAAUGAAAUAAUCUUGUAAAACCAAGACAGGCAAAACAAAAUGGAAGUAACACGCGAAGGAAACUUACAAAAUGGCUGCCUAGGAAAUAGAACAUUACACUACAAAACUAGUUUACUUGCAAACGCAUCAACAUACAAAUUCGAUUCGAUUAGCAAUAGCUCUUAAGCGAACAACAGUGAACAAAGACAUGUACGUUUGGUUUUAAGUUGACGGUUGGCACAACAAUACUUUAUGUUUUUUUUUUGUUUUAUGUUUAAACAGUCGGACAUACACGAUACGUCAAACCAUGUAUGUAUUGCCGAAAAUGUCGAAAAUGUCUUUUAUUUACCCUCAAUAAAUUCACCGGAAUAAGAACACACAUUUCCUAACAUUAUCUGGAAAGAAUCACAAUCACGGUUGCGAUCGUUUUUUUUUUCACUUCAGCUAAGGAAGAUAAAAAAUGGUAAUGAAUUUCAACCCUUCGAAACCCGCACGGAAAAUGAACGUUCCAUCAAGGAAGCAACAAGAUUGCAUCAAUUUCACCCGGUUUUUGUGUGUGCUCUUCCAUUGGUUUUCAUUUCGUUAUACAAUUUUAGACAAAAUACUCACUGUUUAUAGAGGCAAACAAAAAAACGAAACGUAUGAGACAUGGUAAAAAAUGCAACUACCAAGUAUUUACCACCAAAAAUGUGCCAGAACACACACACACACACACACACACACACACACACACACACACACACACACACACCGCAAACGCAAACAUUUGAUACGAGGCGCCAUUGUACCAUACAGAACGCCGAGCACUAGUUGAAAAGUGUAAAAAGUUUCGAGUUUUUAGGUAAACUGUUCACUUUUACUUUGCUUCUCAUUCACGAUCGUAUGGAAAGGUACACUAGAACAAUAAAUUAGCCAUCGCAAAAUUUUAACCAUUUCAGUUAUUUCACCAAACCCCAUUUAGAAGUGUUUUGAGCGGUCUGGCCUAUUUCAUUGUCCCAAACAAGCACGAACCAAAACCUGGCGAAAACAAUCUUGAAGUACGGAUUGUGCGAUUAGUAUAGUAGGAAUAAACGAAAUUUACCACUUUAUAAAGAGUCAAUGCCUUACAACAAUGGAAGCAAGCAGUAUGAAAGGUGAAUUCAUUAUUCUCAAACCGGUCAAAAGAAGGAUUGUGAUGAUAGUGUGUGUAAAAAUGGGAAGAAUAACACAACAAAAUUUGUCUAUCAAUAAACAUCAGAACACGUUAGAAGCUCCAAAUUGUGGAUUGUAGAUCCAUUUCCCGGCGCACUGCUUCGCGAUAAUGUGGAAUUACGCUUAUGAGCUUUGCAGUGAAGACAUUCUGGCCAGAGCGAGAGGAAGAGAGAGAGAGAGAGAUAAAGAGAGAGAGAGAGAGAGAGAGAGAGAGAGAGAGAGAGAGAAAGAGAAAUAAAGAAUAGUUUAAGCUGUGGUCUUUCAAUUCAUGUAUAAUAUCAAUGAGACGAAAGAUUAUGCCAGCCAGGGUACUAUCCGGCUGCACAAUUUCUUAUGAAUGUAUAGCUGUUAAAUGUACAUGUUCGUGUUUGUGCGGUGUAAUAUUGUUGUUUUGCUGCGUGUGCAUUUAUUCUGUACAAAAUGUUCACAAUAAAGUAUUUCAUUUCGUGCCACUUGAAUCUUGAUAACGAAGAUGGUUUGUUUGCAAAAAAAAGCUUAAAGCACACAUGUAUUUCCCGGCAUAAGGGCUACAACCAAAACAGGUUUCAAGGAUAUGCUACCUUGCUGCAAGCUGUUUCGUUCUUUUAACAAACGAUCCUCACGUGAAGGAAUUGUCAAAAAAGGCUCCAGUUUGUUGAAAACUAUGUGUAGACAUUUUUGUAACCAAAUUCAAUCCAUGAGCUUUAUUUCGCGUGCGAUCAAUUAAUCGAUUUUCUGUUUUCAACACAUAUGAACCACCAUUGGCAAAACUUGCGACGAUACGAUUUAAUAUAAGGCAUGGGAGAAGCAAAUUUCAACAAAAUUGUGAUCAAAGCACUAUGGAGUCAAUAAGAUUGACACGUAAAUGGUUACAUGGGAAACGAAACCACGAAGUAGACUAAAUUCAUUAUAUAUCGGCAACACUAAAACUGACGGAAAACGGGCUAAAUUUCAACGUUGUUCAGUAGAGAAGGCCACAAAAUUGUGAUUAAAUUUUACAUUGCUUCGAGCGUUCAGAAUCGAUAAUCGGAAUCAAAAUUCAGACUAACUGAACUACAGUGUUCACACACACAACCGAGAGGUGCUAAAAUAAUUAGGAAUUUGUAACAAAACUAAUAACUGCAUACUUUGUGAUUGGAUAGAAUUUAGCAUUUAUUUUCCAAAUUGAAGCUAUUGGGGAUGCAACGACUCGUAAUUAAUGGCAAGCUUGUUUGAUAAACCUUAACAAAUGGUGCUUGGCGAACAUUUUACGAAGGACUCAUCAGUCAGUCCUCACCAGAGUCAGUCAGAGUCACCAACGCGUAACAGUAAGGUUAAAUUCGCUUCACGUGUUGUUUCCUUUUGGAUCAUGAGCUUUGAUUUUUGUAAAUAGUAGACAAAGAACAUGAACAACGUGCACACCACUAACUCGGAUGAGAAAUUGUUAUUUUGUUGUUAUCAUCUCUCUUCGGCAUCAAAUGUAUGUGUGCGCCAGUUGUGCUUCUUUAGUGGACGAUGGGUUAUAGAAGAGACGAAUUGUUUACAUCGUUUAGAGAAUGUUUAUACCUUCUUUCCUCAUUUCACAUGGAAAAAAUGGCAGUAGAAAAUUAAGCUUUUAUACAACUUCUGGGCGACAACAUGGCAAAGUGUCGAUCGAUCGGUGUUGCAUCGAUGGCCAACUGAAUCCAAUGAAUAUUUACUCUCCAGUCCAAAAGAAAUGCAUUUACAAAUCUAAAUUUAUUGCCACAAUGCGAUCAUCAAACCAUGUAUCAACAAGAAGAUGCGUUGAAAAAGCAACAAAAAAACGUAUAAAAACAGAGACUAACAAAACCAUUACUGUAAAAUUAUAUCUCCACUUGAAAAGGUAUCGAAUGACGGAAAUCUGUAACAUUUUACUUUAUUUAAUGUCUAAAUGUGAUAUGUAGGAUUAUGUUCGAUACAGGAAACAUGUACCAUCAAAUAAACGAUAACUCCUGUGCUAUCGCCGCAAAGAGCGAACGAGGAAACAUAGCAAAUGAAGCAAAAAAAACAUUAAACCAAAUGCAUAAAACAGUUUAAAUGAAUUUUGAAAAUAAUUACAAAAUGGUACACAAAAUUAAUUCAUACCGAUGGGUUCAGCAAAAGUGAGUUAUGCUAAAGAAGUAAAAGUUUCGUGAUAGAACGCGAGUCAAAUCUGUCUAAAAUAGACAAAACAAAUGUAACAAAUAGUAAAUUGAAGUAAGAAUACGAACAAAAUUCAAGCACAUCUACCGAGUCACAUGUAUGGAAAGGUUUAAAAACAUUCAAACCCAAAUUCAGUCAACCUCUUGGCUUGCACGAAUGACAUCCAAAUCCAAUUUGCAAAUGAAGUUCUUUUUUACCUUAGAAACACUUUGUUUAUAAGCAGGAUCGAUAUUUUCUUUCUUUCAACAGUCAAUCAAUCAAUUAGAACAGGAUAUAUAUAUAUACGCACAUAACAAAGAGCUGAAUGUUUUUAAAAAACACAAGCAACGCCAGCAACGCAAUAGAAAACAGCAGACGAAUAAUACUACGCAGCAACAGAAUACACACAUAAAUAAUCCAUGGAAUUAUUUGACUACUAAUACUACCACCAUUGCACAGUAUAAUAACUACAAUAGCAGCAAACAACAGCUUAGAAAUAAAAUCUUAAGUCACCGUUAGCACACAAAGCAAACACACUAAAACAACAUACAAGCAAAUUCAAGACCAAAAACAACUCAACUCACAGUAACAGUAACAGCAAUCAACAACAAGAACAGAUACCAGCAGAUACAGCAAUAACAAUAUCAAGAACAUAAUGCAUGGAGUAGCGCAUGAGGGGUUAUGAUUUCAAUUGGCAUUUGGCAUUUUAUGCCAAUUACAUUUUCCACUCUACCAAUCAACCAAUCAACCAAUAUCAUUUUCCGACUAAUGUCCGGGCUCCUGGAUGACAAACGAAAUCAGUUGGUUAAUGCAUUUUUAUUUUUCAAUUCAAUUGUUUCAUUGUAAUUAACUGAGACAGUUUGUACGGCACAUCGCGUUCAACUUCGCCAAAAAACAAAGAAAAUGGAAUUUGCAAUUCGGUGUGCUAAUUAUGAUUUUGGAUAUGUCAUUCCUUGAAAGCUAUAACGAACGAAGGUUGAUCAAGGCACUUUAUGAUGCUACGUGCCGAACAAUGCAUUCGAUCAGUGUGCAAAGAUAUGCAUUCCAGUAGAACUAUGCUCGGGCCUAUGGUUUACUUUCCGCAGCAGCACUUGCGCAGCUUUCUGGGCAAUGAAAGGCAAACCACCAAACACAUAUACGUAGUAGGGAAUGUUCUUUAU